CUAUAAAGGCAGUGGAAAGCUCUCACUGCCUUCAGGAGAACUGGACCAGGUCCCACUCCGGAGGAAGCAUCCACAUGUUUCCAGAAGAGGAAGGCAUUCUGUACCAUACACAAGUGUAUUUUCAUUUAAUUUCAAGGUUGAUGAGAUCUUUUUCUUCACUGGAGGCUUGUUCCACGAAGUAGAUGUCCUGCCAGCACCAUCACUUCCAAUGUGCUGCAUCUCCGAGGAACAUGCAUCUCACAACUCACCUGAUUCUUUGCCCCUGCACUAAAGAAAUAUGAGAUGUAAUGG